CCCUGCCUUUUGUACACACCGCCCGUCGCUCCUACCGAUUGAAUGGUCCGGUGAAGAGUUCGGAUUGCGGCGAUGCCGGCGGUUCGCCGCCGGUGACGUUGUGAGAAGUCCUUUAAACCUUAUCAUUU
rnacentral:rRNA from 1 species